UACAGAGGUCUCAAGCGUUGUUCGGAUUCAUUGGGCGUAAAGGGUGCGUAGGCGGCGCCAUAAGUCAGGUGUGAAAUCUCGGGGCUCAACCCCGAAACUGCACUUGAUACUGUGGUGCUUGAGUACUGGAGAGGAGAUUGGAAUUUACGGUGUAGCAGUGAAAUGCGUAGAUAUCGUAAGGAAGACCAGUGGCGAAGGCGAAUCUCUGGACAGUUACUGACACUGAGGCACGAAGGCCAGGGGAGCAAACGGG
rnacentral:rRNA from 1 species